AUUGAACGCUGGCGGCAGGCCUAACACAUGCAAGUCGAGCGGUAACACAGAGGAGCUUGCUCCUUGGGUGACGAGCGGCGGACGGGUGAGUAAUGCCUGGGGAUCUGCCCGAUAGAGGGGGAUAACUACGGGAAACUGUAGCUAAUACCGCAUAAUGUCUACGGACCAAAGUGGGGGCGCGUCGGACCUCAUGCGAUCGGAUGAACCCAGGUGGGAUUAGCUAGUUGGUGAGGUAAUGGCUCACCAAGGCGACGAUCUCUAACUGGUUUGAGAGAAUAACCAGUCACACUGGAACUGAGACACGGUCCAGACUCCUACGGGAGGCAGCAGUGGGGAAUAUUGCACAAUGGGCGCAAGCCUGAUGCAGCCAUGCCGCGUGUGUGAAGAAGGCCUUCGGGUUGUAAAGCACUUUCAGCGGGGAGGAAGGGUCACUAGUUAAUACCUAGUGGCAUUGACGUUACUCGCAGAAGAAGCACCGGCUAACUCCGUGCCAGCCGCCGCAGUAAUAC
rnacentral:rRNA from 1 species